UACGUAGGUGGCAAGCGUUAUCCGGAUUUACUGGGUGUAAAGGGCGUGUAGGCGGGAAAGCAAGUCAGAUGUGAAAACCGUGGGCUCAACCUGUGGCCUGCAUUUGAAACUGUUUUUCUUGAGUACUGGAGAGGCAGACGGAAUUCCUAGUGUAGCGGUGAAAUGCGUAGAUAUUAGGAGGAAUACCAGUGGCGAAGGCGGUCUGCUGGACAGCAACUGACGCUGAGGCGCGAAAGCGUGGGGAGCAAACAGG
rnacentral:rRNA from 1 species